GAUGAACGCUGGCGGCGUGCCUAAUACAUGCAAGUCGAGCGAAUGAAUUAAGAGCUUGCUCUUAUGAAGUUAGCGGCGGACGGGUGAGUAACACGUGGGUAACCUGCCCAUAAGACUGGGAUAACUGCGGGAAACUGUAGCUAAUACCGGAUACGACCCUCGGCGGCAUCGCCAGGGGGUGGAAAGAAUUUCGGUCAAGGAUGGACUCGCGGCCUAUCAGCUAGUUGGUGAGGUAACGGCUCACCAAGGCGACGACGGGUAGCCGGCCUGAGAGGGUGACCGGCCACACUGGGACUGAGACACGGCCCAGACUCCUACGGGAGGCAGCAGUAGGGAAUCUUCCGCAAUGGACGAAAGUCUGACGGAGCAACGCCGCGUGAGUGAUGAAGGCUUUCGGGUCGUAAAACUCUGUUGUUAGGGAAGAACAAGUGCUAGUUGAAUAAGCUGGCACCUUGACGGUACCUAACCAGAAAGCCACGGCUAACUACGUGCCAGCCGCCGCAGUAA
rnacentral:rRNA from 1 species